rnacentral:rRNA from 1 species
GAUGAACGCCGGCGGUGUGCCUAAUACAUGCAAGUCGUACGCACUGGCCCAACUGAUUGAUGAUGCUUGCACCUGAUUGACGAUGGAUCACCAGUGAGUGGCGGACGGGUGAGUAACACGUAGGUAACCUGCCCCGGAGCGGGGGAUAACAUUUGGAAACAGAUGCUAAUACCGCAUAACAACAAAAGCCGCAUGGUUUUUGUUUGAAAGAUGGCUUGGCUAUCACUCUGGGAUGGACCUGCGGUGCAUUAGCUAGUUGGUAAGGUAACGGCUUACCAAGGCGAUGAUGCAUAGCCGAGUUGAGAGACUGAUCGGCCACAAUGGAACUGAGACACGGUCCAUACUCCUACGGGAGGCAGCAGUAGGGAAUCUUCCACAAUGGGCGCAAGCCUGAUGGAGCAACACCGCGUGAGUGAAGAAGGGUUUCGGCUCGUAAAGCUCUGUUGUUGGAGAAGAACGUGCGUGAGAGUAACUGUUCACGCAGUGACGGUAUCCAACCAGAAAGUCACGGCUAACUAC